rnacentral:rRNA from 1 species
GCCAUCCUUUAAAGAGUGCGUAAUAGCUCACUGGUCGAGCGAUGGUGCGCCGAAAAUUUAACGGGGCUCAAGUUUGCCACCGAAGCUACGGACUUUUCUCGAAAGAGAUGAGUGGUAGGGGAGCAUUCUCUGUGCAGUGAAGGUUGACCGACAAGGACAGCUGGAGCGCAGAGAAGAGAUUAUGCAGGCAUAAGUAGCGAUAAUUGAUGUGAGAAUCAUCAACCCCGUAAACCUAAGGUUUCCUGGCCUAUGUUCGUCAGCGUGUAGGCGGGUCUUGCUGGCAAAUCCGCAAGGCCGUUACCGCCGAGACGUGAUGGGGAGGCCGCAAGGCCACAAACGGGCUGAUCCCAUGCUGCCGAGAAAAGCCUCGUAGCGAGUCAUCAUUGUGUCCGUACCGCAAACCGACACAGGUAGGUAGGUGGAAUACACCAAGGGGCGUGAGAGAACACUUCCUAAGGAACUUUGCAAUUUAGCCCCGUAACUUCGGGAGAAGGGGUGCCACGCGUAGGUGAGUCUGUACAAGGUAAGCCGAACGUGGUUGCAAUAAAGUGGCUCUAGCGACUGUUUACCAAAAACACAGGACUCUGCGAACAC